CUUGGCGGCCAUAGCGCAGCGGACCCACCUGAAUCCAUGCCGAACUCAGAAGUGAAACGUUGUAGCGC
rnacentral:rRNA from 1 species